ACGUAGGGAGCGAGCGUUGUCCGGAAUUACUGGGUGUAAAGGGCGCGUAGGCGGGGAUACAAGUCAGAUGUGAAAUAUCCAGGCUCAACCUGGGGGCUGCAUUUGAAACUGUAUUUCUUGAGUGAUGGAGAGGCAGGCGGAAUUCCGAGUGUAGCGGUGAAAUGCGUAGAUAUUCGGAGGAACACCAGUGGCGAAGGCGGCCUGCUGGACAUUAACUGACGCUGAGGCGCGAAAGCGUGGGGAGCAAACAG
rnacentral:rRNA from 1 species